rnacentral:rRNA from 1 species
AGUGAACGCUGGCGGCAGGCCUAAUACAUGCAAGUCGAACGGCAGCACAGCAGAGCUUGCUCUGUGGGUGGCGAGUGGGCGGACGGGUGAGGAAUACGUGGGAAUCUGCCCAGUCGUGGGGGAUAACGUAGGGAAACUUACGCUAAUACCGCAUGCGCCCUUCGGGGAAAGCCGGGGACCUUCGGGCCUGGCGCGAUUGGAUGAGCCCACGUCGGAUUAGCUAGUUGGCGGGGUAAAGGCCCACCAAGGCGACGAUCCGUAGCUGGUCUGAGAGGAUGAUCAGCCACACUGGAACUGAGACACGGUCCAGACUCCUACGGGAGGCAGCAGUAGGGAAUAUUGGACAAUGGGCGCAAGCCUGAUCCAGCCAUGCCGCGUGAGUGAAGAAGGCCCUCGGGUUGUAAAGCUCUUUUGUCCGGAAAGAAAAGACGCCGGGUUAAUACCCUGGUGUCCUGACGGUACCGGAAGAAUAAGCACCGGCUAACUUCGUGCCAGCAG